AAAUUUUCUUAAGGAACUCGGCAAAAUCCCAAUGGCCCACCAGGGCAUAUUGGAACACGGGCCUCGACUGUUUACCAAAAACAUAGCCCUCGGCCAAUAUGAAAAUAGAUGUAUAGAGGGUGAUGCCUGCCCAAUGGUUGUAUCUAAAAGCGGUUGAUAAAAGUCGACCUCGUAAGGACAAUUGAAUGGCCGCGGUAACACUGACCGUGAUAAUGUAGCGUAAUCAAUAGCCAAUUAAUUGUUGGCCAGUAUGAAUGGCGCCACGAAGGCCCCACUGUCUUAAGGAAAUUCCCAGUGAAAUUGAAUUCGUAGUGAAGAUGCUACGUCCAAUUUGUUAGACGAAAAGACCCCGUUGAGCUUUACUGGGGCACUUACACGGCCCCGGCCUUCCCGUGUCCGGGAACCGGCCGAAUUUAAAUGGGUGGUUUAGACUAUGUGGCAGCCCCCCGCCGGGGCAGAUGAAACCCCACUCCCCCAUGUCAAAGGGGCUAACCCCCCCUUGGGGGGGAGAGUGUAAGUAGGACAGUUUGGUUGGGGCGACCGCCUUUUAAAGAGUAACGAAGGUGCGCUUAAGGUGCGCAAUUAAUGACUGAAGCCUGACUGCGAGGGGGACACCCCGAGCAGACACCCCUAAGCCCGCCCGAAGGGCGGCGGUGGGGUGGGCCAUAGUGACCCGUU
rnacentral:rRNA from 1 species